ACGGCGAGUGAGCGGCAACAGCUCAAUUUGAAAUCUGGCCCCCCGGGCCCGAGUUGUAAUUUGUAGAGGAUGCUUUUGGCGAGGCGCCUUCCGAGUUCCCUGGAACGGGACGCCACAGAGGGUGAGAGCCCCGUCUGGUUGGAUGCCGAGCCUCAGUAAAGCUCCUUCGACGAGUCGAGUAGUUUGGGAAUGCUGCUCUAAAUGGGAGGUAUAUGUCUUCUAAAGCUAAAUAUUGGCCAGAGACCGAUAGCGCACAAGUAGAGUGAUCGAAAGAUGAAAAGCACUUUGAAAAGAGGGUUAAAUAGUACGUGAAAUUGUUGAAAGGGAAGCGCUCAUGACCAGACUUGGGCCCGGUGAAUCAUCCAGCGUUCUCGCUGGUGCACUUUGCCGGGCCCAGGCCAGCAUCAGUUUGCCCCGGGGGACAAAGGCUCUGGGAAUGUGGCUCCUCCGGGAGUGUUAUAGCCCUCUGCGCAAUGCCCUGGGGCGGACUGAGGUUCGCGCAUCUGCAAGGAUGCUGGCGUAAUGUCAUCAGCGACCGG
rnacentral:rRNA from 1 species